rnacentral:rRNA from 1 species
AAUCAACGCUGGCGGCGUGCCUCAGACAUGCAAGUCGAACGCGAAAGUCCCCUUCGGGGGAUGAGUAGAGUGGCGUCCGGGUGAGUAACACGCAGGUAAUCUACCUUUGGGUGGGGAAUAACCCCGAGAAAUCGGGGCUAAUACCGCAUAAUGCAGCGGCACCACAUGGUGACAGUUGUUAAAGCGGGGGAUCGCAAGACCUCGCGCCUAAAGAGGAGCCUGCGGCGGAUUAGCUAGUUGGUAGGGUAACGGCCUACCAAGGCAACGAUCCGUAGCCGGCCUGAGAGGGCGGUCGGCCACACUGACACUGAAAUACGGGUCAGACUCCUACGGGAGGCAGCAGUCGGGAAUUUUGGGCAAUGGGCGAAAGCCUGACCCAGCAACGCCGCGUGAAGGAUGGAAUCCCUCGGGAUGUAAACUUCGCAAGAACAGGAAGAAUAAGUAGGG